GACGAACGCUGGCGGCGUGCUUAACACAUGCAAGUCGAACGGAAAGGCCCUGCUUUUGUGGGGUGCUCGAGUGGCGAACGGGUGAGUAACACGUGAGUAACCUGCCCUUGACUUUGGGAUAACUUCAGGGAACUGGGGCUAAUACCGGAUAGGAGCUCCUGCUGCAUGGUGGGGGUUGGAAAGUUUCGGCGGUUGGGGAUGGACUCGCGGCUUAUCAGCUUGUUGGUGAGGUAGUGGCUUACCAAGGCUUUGACGGGUAGCCGGCCUGAGAGGGUGACCGGCCACAUUGGGACUGAGAUACGGCCCAGACUCCUACGGGAGGCAGCAGUGGGGAAUAUUGCACAAUGGGCGGAAGCCUGAUGCAGCAACGCCGCGUGCGGGAUGACGGCCUUCGGGUUGUAAACCGCUUUCGCCUGUGACGAAGCGUGAGUGACGGUAAUGGGUAAAGAAGCACCGGCUAACUACGUG
rnacentral:rRNA from 1 species